UACGAAGGGGGGCUAGCGUUGCUCGGAAUCACUGGGCGUAAAGCGCACGUAGGCGGAUCUUUAAGUCAGGGGUGAAAUCCUGGAGCUCAACUCCAGAACUGCCUUUGAUACUGGGGAUCUCGAGUCCGGAAGGAGGUGAGUGGAACUCGAGUGUAGAGGUGAAAUUCGUAGAUAUUCGGAAAGAACACCAGUGGCGAAGGCGGCUCACUGGUCCGGUACUGACGCUGAGGUGCGAAAGCGUGGGGAGCAAACAGGAGUUAGAA
rnacentral:rRNA from 1 species